GGGAAUGUAGCUUAGUGGUAGAGUGCAUGCCUUGCAUGCAUGAAGCCCUGCGUUCAAUUACUCAGUACCA
rfam:Dipodomys ordii contig_25075, whole genome shotgun sequence.